rnacentral:lncRNA from 1 species
AUGCUUUAUGCGGUGUUGGUAAUGGGAGGAAAAUCUGCAAACUCCUGCUGUAUUGAGAAACAGGCAAGAGAAAGGAGAGGGGCUCGUUUGUUCCCAUUCCACUGGCAAGGAAGUAGAGGGGUGAAGUGUCUGAUGGGUCUUCGGGUCUCAUUCAAGGCACACAGUCUCAACUCUACUGAGCGUAGGCCCUGGGAUUGCCAUGUCAAGUUGCAGGCAGAGAGGAGUUGCAAAAACUGCGACCAAUCCGGAGAGGAAGCCUGUGUAUGUCCUCCCUGCGUUGCUGAUGAAGAAAUGAAGAUAGGGAGUGAUUUGUAAGGCAGCUUCUGGCCAACUCCAAACUCAGACCAUGGAAGUGAUACGCCAAAUUGAGUUUUUACGAAAGACUUUUCAGAAUGCAUCAGUAUUUUACCUAUAAAGUUGAUCUCUCUCUUUUACUGUCUCCUGUCUUAAUUUCAUUUAAGGUUUUCACACAGUUCAGAGGCAACAGUUACUUCUGUGUCCCUUGUCUGUGCAUUUAUUUUAAUGGAUAAAAGUAAAAAAGUAGAUGCAAUGGAAUGGCCUGAAUUUACUAGUUACAGCUGCCAGUGGUUUCAUUCUGAUAGCCAUGAAUUGAAGCUGAAAAUGUUGGGCACAGUGCAAUGUUAGGAGAAGCCAGCAAGAGGGGAAGUGAAUAUAGGACAGUAUGUGCUAAGUCAGAAAAUCAGGAAAAUAGUGUGUGAGAGUUUGUUGUUUUAUGUUUACUAACAUGACAAUUUUCAUUUCAGUUUAUCUUUUAAAAUUAUACUUUUAGGGCUAGGGAUGUAGCUCAGGGGUAGAGCACUUCCUUAGCAUGCAUAAAACCUUGGGUUGGAUCUCUAGGACUGCAAGAAAAAGAAAGUUUUUGGCAUUCAAUAAAAUGCUGAGAGGGCCGGGGAUUUGGCUCAGUGGCACCGCGUCUACCUCACAAGUGCAAGGUCCUGAGUUCCAUCCCUGGCAUCAAAAAAAAAAGUGCCGAGAAACCUCAAUUUCAGUAUUUGGCUACUCCACGAUUCCAUAGAAACAGUGUCAGAACACCAAAUGUAAAGUAUAGACACGUUGACAAUUUGCUUUUUAUCUUUAUUUCAAUUUUCCCUGGAAACUGAGAAGUUCCUACUUAGAUAUAAAACA